GUUGAACGCUGGCGGCGUGCCUAACACAUGCAAGUCGAGCGGACGGACGAGAAGCCUUCUUCUCUGAUGUUGGCGCCGGCCGUGUGAGGAACAGGUGGAUUACUUACCUAUAGGACUAUCAUACCUUCGGGGAAGCGGAGCUAAUACCGGUUGUUAGGUUGAACCUCGGGGUUCAUAAGUGUAAUACGGUUUUGCUGUCCCUUAUUGAUGUAUCCGCGCUGCUUUAGCUAGUUGGUAAGGUAACGGCUUACCAAGACAAGGAUGCAUAGCCGAACUGCGAGAGUGGUCAGCCACACUGGAACUGAGACACGGUCCGGACUCCUACGAGAGGCAGCAGUAGGGAAUCUUACACGAUGGGCGCAAGCCUGACGAAGCAACACCGCGUAUGUGAAGAAGAUCUUCGGAUGGUAAAACACUGUAAAUAGGGAAGAACAUACGUGUAAGUAACUGGGCCCAUCAUGACGGUACCUAGUAACUAAGCAACGGCUAACUACGUG
rnacentral:rRNA from 1 species